GUAAUCUUCCUUAUAAGAAACUUCUUGAGCAGUUGAUCAAAUUGCUGAAAUAAACAGCAACAGAACAGCAAAAUCCGCCGGCACAAAUAGCAGAGGCAUAAAUCAUGCCGUCCGUCUUUGAAAUAUGUAUUUCACAUUAUGUAAGAAGGUUUUAAAUGGCCUUGCCGUUUUCACCGCUAUCAAAUCACUAAGCUUGAAAAGCUUCUUUGGCAAAAAAGAGAUAUACUAUCUGGAAAUACAACUGGAAAAAGCGAUAGGUGCUAUUUCAAAACGCUUUUAAAAAUUUCUAAAACAUUUUAAUUACGAUUUACGGUACGCCGCAUUCGAAGAUUUUCGAGUAUAUCACAAUGUAGCAAUAUGAUGAACUUCCUUUUAUCACAAAAUUCUCAUUAGAAAUUUAAACAUUAGAUGGAAAAGAUUUUAGUAAACAACCAAGGUUAUUUGCUUGAAGACUCUUUAAUUAGGUCAUCCCGAAGGUCGUUCCGAGAAAGUUCAAGUUCAACAAUGAGACAUAGUUGGCUGAAGUUCUAGAAUACAUCACAGCAGUACCACAGGACACCCAACCGUCAAACUAGUAAAAUGUUACUUUUAUAGCAAACUCUUGUAGGGYCGUUUUUUUACUUACUYCAAUAUAAACUAAGCAAGCAAGGUGAUGUGCCGGGUUCUUAUGACUGAUAACGGUAUUGAUCGGCCGACACUGCGUCCAAUAAGCAUACCAUGUCAGCAUGACACAGUCGUUGAGCGGUGUUUGUCCCAGUGGCUUCGAACAGUGAUGUGGCUACGAACGCUUUAAACGAACAAAGUCUUUAUUAGGCAUAAACGUCAUGUAGUAGUGCAUAGAUACCACAACCUACUUAUCAACUGAAAAGCCGUGAAAGGGUUCCAAAGCUUCCAUAUUAUUGUCGGGAGAACCGUUAGUUUUUUAUGUUCAAUUUUCCACCCUAGAAAUUAGGAGAUGCUUUUGGUAUGUCACAAUUAGCUAAAUGAUUUCACUGAAAGAAUUUCGCGAACAUUUUUGGGCAGGCCUCUGAUUAGAGUAAAAACACGGCGUAUAGUAACGGGGGCAGGUGCACCUGUAAUUGAUGAAAUAUUAAUGCCUGUUUUUAGGAAUAACUGAACAUCAAUAACAACGUGCAAAAUUGCAUUGCUAAAUUACUUUGAAUGGCAACGAAUUAGUCUCUGCGAUUUAACAAGGAUUUCAGUGUGUUGGAAGAUGCGUUGACGCUUGUCUUUAGAAGUGAUAAUUUAAACCAAAAUGGGCCGGACAUGGAAAACACUUCUUGUUCAUAUCAUAAUGGCAAUGUUUUUCACUAAAGUAGUGACAGACAGUGCACAACCAACCAUGCCAGGAAAUAGUUCG